GGUUCGUGGCGUACCUGCACGUGGGCUGCUACUACGUCGUCGGCGUGCCACUCGGCGUCUCCCUUGGCUUCUACCUCGACCUCGGCGGUCGGCGCCAAGUUAAACGCAGGGGGUUUGGAGCGGCAUGGUGGUCGAAGGAACCCUGAUGCAGACGCUCAUCUUGCUCGUUGUCACACCAUCAGAACCGACUGGAACAAGCAGGUGGAGAAUGCCAAGGCAAGGCUGGCCAAAUGGGGGGACAGGAAGCAGCCUCGGCCACAAGAUUACUGUUGAGAGUACACCAAGUGGGUGUCUGGCUCUGAUGUAGAAUGAAUGUUUCUGAAUCCAAC